UCCGUCUCCAACUACUGGGACUCUGCCAGCCCAGGGAUUCAAUUGGAAUAGUAGCUUUCAGCAAAGGGUAAAAAAUGAAGAGGGAAAUAACUCAAAUUUCUCUUUCCAGCCCCAAAUAAGGUCUACUAUGUCUUCUGGUUCGAUGUUUCAGACUUCUACAACACCAUCAUCUUCUAUGGUAGAAACCUUGAAAGGACAACAAGAAGCAUGGAAUUUGCGAGAAUCCAAUAAGCAAACUGAUUCAAAGGCCACAGUGAAAUCCAAAUUCGCCCCAAACCAGACCUUCUCUCCUGAGAUUGCCACGAUUCAAACUAAUACCCAAGUCAGUGGUGGAUUUCAAUCUGAGUACAA